UACAGAGACUGCAAGCGUUAUUCGGAUUCACUGGGCGUAAAGGGUGCGCAGGCGGUUGGGUGUGUCAGAUGUGAAAUCCCGAGGCUUAACCUCGGAACUGCGUCUGAAACUACUCGACUAGAGUACUGGAGAGGGAAACGGAAUUCACGGUGUAGCAGUGAAAUGCGUAGAUAUCGUGAGGAACACCAGAGGCGAAGGCGGUUCCUGGACAGUUACUGACGCUCAGGCACGAAAGCAUGGGGAG
rnacentral:rRNA from 1 species